CCUACGGGGAGCUGCAGUGGGGAAUAUUGCACAAUGAGGGGAACCCUGAUGCAGCGACGCCGCGUGAGUGAAGAAGUAUUUCGGUGUGUAAAGCUCUAUCAGCAGGGAAGAAAAUGACGGUACCUGACUAAGAAGCCCCGUCUAACUACGUGCCAGCAGCCGCGGUAAUACGUCGGGGGCAAGCGUUAUCCGGAUUUACUGGGUGUAAAGGGAGCGCAGCCUGCUGUGCAAUGCUGGAGUUAAAGGGGGGGGCCCAACCCCCGGACUGCUCUGGAAACUGUAAAGCUGGAGUGCAGGAGAGGUAAGCGGAAUUCCUAGUGUAGCGGUGAAAUGCGGAGAUAUUAGGAGGAACACCAGUGGCGAAGGCGGCUUACUGGACUGCAACUGACGUUGAGGCUCGAAAGCGUGGGGAGCAAACAGGAUUAGAUACCCCUGUAGUC
rnacentral:rRNA from 1 species